CAGGGAGACAACAAAAUGUUUAAUAUUAUUAUUUUGUCACCUUAGGUCGAUCGGUAUCUCACGUUUUUAAUUUAUUAAAAAUUUCAUUUCCUAAGUUUUUCUAGGUCACACCCAUUAUUUUUCCUGGGCCAUUAGCUCAGGUGGUUAGAGCGCACCCCUGAUAAGGGUGAGGUCCCUGGUUCAAGUCCAGGAUGGCCCAUAUCUCUAUGUUGGGGGUAUAGCUCAGUUGGUAGAGCGCCUGCUUUGCAAGCAGGAUGUCAGCGGUUCGAGUCCGCUUACCUCCACUGAUUACCACCUCUUCCAUAACCGGUAGAAAGGAAAUGUUUUGAGUUGUGAUCAAAUUCUGAAAGAAUCUAGCUUCCUAAUGAAAUCAUUAAGAUGCUGGACUCAUUGAAUUAAUUUCAUUGUUUUCAGAGAACCUUGACAACUGCAUAGAUUUUUUUAAAGACAAUAAGCAUCUUUAAUGAUGCAGAUUUAUUAUUUGUGCGAAUGCAUUAAUAACAAUUCUAUUAAGCUGAUGCUUCAAUUUUUGAAGUUAUU
rnacentral:tRNA from 1 species